GAUGAACGCUGGCGGCGUGCCUAAUACAUGCAAGUCGAGCGAACAGAUAAGGAGCUUGCUCCUUUGACGUUAGCGGCGGACGGGUGAGUAACACGUGGGUAACCUACCUAUAAGACUGGGAUAACUUCGGGAAACCGGAGCUAAUACCGGAUAACAUUUGGAACCGCAUGGUUCUAAAGUGAAAGAUGGUUUUGCUAUCACUUAUAGAUGGACCCGCGCCGUAUUAGCUAGUUGGUAAGGUAACGGCUUACCAAGGCAACGAUACGUAGCCGACCUGAGAGGGUGAUCGGCCACACUGGAACUGAGACACGGUCCAGACUCCUACGUGAGGCAGCAGUAGGGAAUCUUCCGCAAUGGGCGAAAGCCUGACGGAGCAACGCCGCGUGAGUGAUGAAGGGUUUCGGCUCGUAAAACUCUGUUAUUAGGGAAGAACAAAUGUGUAAGUAACUGUGCACGUCUUGACGGUACCUAAUCAGAAAGCCACGGCUAACUACGUG
rnacentral:rRNA from 1 species